rnacentral:rRNA from 1 species
UACGGGGGGGGUAAGCGUUGUUCGGAAUUACUGGGCGUAAAGGGCCAGUAGGCGGCCAACUAAGUCCGACGUGAAAUCCCAAGGCUUAACCUUGGAACUGCGUCGGAUACUGGAUGGCUUGAAUUCGGGAGAGGGAUGCAGAAUUCCAGGUGUAGCGGUGAAAUGCGUAGAUAUCUGGAGGAAUACCGGUGGCGAAGGCGGCAUCCUGGACCGACAUUGACGCUGAACGGCGAAAGCUAGGGGAGCAAACGGG